rnacentral:lncRNA from 1 species
CGGAAGCGGAUUAUGUGGAGUGAAAGUUACACCGUGGCGGAUUGACUUCUAAGGACUCUUGGUACAUGAGGAAGAAACCCGGAAGGGGAAGAGGAAAGCAAAGGCGUCAGGAAUGGUUCUUCCUCAGGGUCUAUUGACAUUCAGGGAUGUGGCCAUAGAAUUCUCUCAGGAGGAGUGGAAAUGCCUGGACCCUGCUCAGAGGACUCUAUACAGAGAUGUGAUGUUGGAGAAUUAUAGGAACCUGGUCUCCCUGGAUGUUCUGCGUUCUUCAUGAUAGCUCAGUGGGGGUUCCAGAAGUAAAGAAGGCUUAAAACCUUAUGGCUGGCAAGGCGUGGUGACUCAUGCCUGUAAUCCCAGCACUUUGGGAGGCCAAAGCUUGUGGAUCACUUCAGGCUGGAGUGCAGUGGCACAAUCUCGGCUCACCACCACCUCCGCCUCCCGGGUUCAAGCGAUUCUCCCGCCUCAGCCUCAGAAGUUGCUGGAAUUACAGGUAUUUUUUCUAAAUGUGAGAUCAAGGAAUUACCACCAAAAAAGGAGAGUAAUACAGGAGAAAUAUUCCAGACAGUAAUGUUGGAAAGACAUGAAAGCCACGACAUACAAGAUUUUUGCUUCAGAGAAACCCAGAAAAAUGUACAUGACUCUCAGUGUCUGUGGAAACAUGAUUGAAGAC